GAAACCGUGUACGUACAAGCAGUGGGAGCACAGGUUUACCUGUGUGACUGCGUACCUUUUGUAUAAUGGGUCAGCGACUUAUAUUCUGUAGCAAGGUUAACCGUAUAGGGGAGCCGUAGGGAAACCGAGUCUUAACCGGGCGUUAAGUUGCAGGGUAUAGACCCGAAACCCGGUGAUCUAGCCAUGGGCAGGUUGAAGGUUGGGUAACACUAACUGGAGGACCGAACCGACUAAUGUUGAAAAAUUAGCGGAUGACCUGUGGCUGGGGGUGAAAGGCCAAUCAAACCGGGAGAUAGCUGGUUCUCCCCGAAAGCUAUUUAGGUAGCGCCUCGUGAAUUCAUCUCCGGGGGUAGAGCACUGUUUCGGCUAGGGGGCCAUCCCGGCUUACCAACCCGAUGCAAACUGCGAAUACCGGAGAAUGUUAUCACGGGAGACACACGGCGGGUGCUAACGUCCGUCGUGAAGAGGGAAACAACCCAGACCGCCAGCUAAGGUCCCAAAGUCAUGGUUAAGUGGGAAACGAUGUGGGAAGGCCCAGACAGCCAGGAUGUUGGCUUAGAAGCAGCCAUCAUUUAAAGAAAGCGUAAUAGCUCACUGGUCGAGUCGGCCUGCGCGGAAGAUGUAACGGGGCUAAACCAUGCACCGAAGCUGCGGCAGCGAACGUAUCACCCAAGACAACUUUACGGAGUUGACGAUUGACGGAGCGAAGCGACGUCAAAGCGUUCAUUAAAGUCGAGUUGGCUUAGGGAUACGUUCGUUGGGUAGGGGAGCGUUCUGUAAGCCUGUGAAGGUGUGUCGUGAGGCAUGCUGGAGGUAUCAGAAGUGCGAAUGCUGACAUAAGUAACGAUAAAGCGGGUGAAAAGCCCGCUCGCCGGAAGACCAAGGGUUCCUGUCCAACGUUAAUCGGGGCAGGGUGAGUCGACCCCUAAGGCGAGGCCGAAAGGCGUAGUCGAUGGGAAACGGGUUAAUAUUCCCGUACUUGGUGUUACUGCGAAGGGGGGACGGAGAAGGCUAUGUUGGCCGGGCGACGGUUGUCCCGGUUUAAGCGUGUAGGUGUGUGUUCCAGGUAAAUCCGGUUCACUUUAACACUGAGGCGUGACGACGAGGCACUACGGUGCUGAAGCAACAAAUGCCCUGCUUCCAGGAAAAGCCUCUAAGCAUCAGGUAACACGAAAUCGUACCCCAAACCGACACAGGUGGUCAGGUAGAGAAUACCAAGGCGCUUGAGAGAACUCGGGUGAAGGAACUAGGCAAAAUGGUGCCGUAACUUCGGGAGAAGGCACGCUGACACGUAGGUGAAGUGAUUUACUCAUGGAGCUGAAGUCAGUCGAAGAUACCAGCUGGCUGCAACUGUUUAUUAAAAACACAGCACUGUGCAAACACGAAAGUGGACGUAUACGGUGUGACGCCUGCCCGGUGCCGGAA
rnacentral:rRNA from 2 species